AUUAAACAUGACACCAAGAGGAAAUGUUACUUCCUGUUAUUUAAACUUCACCUGACCUUUUCUAAUACUCAAGCAAGUAGUCCUUUAAGACAGGUUAUUAUAUUUGGUCAAAGGAGGUCAUUUUCCCCACAGCGGGAUCCAGGAUUUACGUCUGAACUGAUCUGCGAUGAAACAGAAAAUGGUGGAAUUUAUUAUGAAAUUAGUCUGCUCAGUUUCUAAAAACAGCAGCCUGGUGUUUUAUCGCAUCAAGUGGCUCUCAGGAUGUCAAACAUGAGUCUUACUGGACAUGAACCUCUGAGAGCUCAAAACCCUUCACAUUUGAACUUCACCUUGUCAGCGUUGGUCAAUACAAUGUUCGGUGAGUGCAGUGAAGAGGAGGAGAGUAAUUACUGACUGGAAAGGUCAAGCACAUCCAGUAC
rnacentral:lncRNA from 1 species